CUGACAGGAGAGGUUCCUAUAAGGUGUCAGGACGUCACCGUCUAUUUCUCCAUGGAGGAGUGGGAGUAUCUAGAAGGACAGAAAGACCUCUACAAGAACGUCAUGAUGAAGGAUCAGCCGCCCCUCACAUCACCGGAUGGAUCCAGUAAGAGGAACCCACCAGAGA